rnacentral:rRNA from 1 species
CCUACGGGGGGCUGCAGUUGGGAAUCUUGCACAAUGGGGGAAACCCUGAUGCAGCGACGCCGCGUGGAGGAUGACGGAUCUAGGUCUGUAAACUCCUUUUUCAUGGAAAGACUUAGGACGGUACCAUGAGAAUAAGGACCGGCUAACUACGUGCCAGCAGCCGCGGUAAGACGUAGGGUCCAAGCGUUGUCCGGAUUUACUGGGCGUAAAGAGCGCGUAGGCGGUCUGUUAAGUGUGAAGUGAAAUCUCCAGGGCUCAACCCGGAAACUGCUUCG